CUGGCCAGAUCUCUCUACACAGGUAAAAGAUGAAGCCAACAAUACAAAUGGCUUCAGGAAAUCUCACAUGGGUGACGGAGUUCAUUCUUGUGGGAGUCUCAGAUGAUCCGGAGCUCCAGAUUCCCCUCUUCCUGGUCUUCCUGGUGCUCUAUUUGCUGACCGUGGCAGGGAACCUGGGCAUCAUCACCCUCACCAGUGUUGACCCUCAACUUCAAACCCCCAUGUACUUUUUCCUCUGACACUUGGCUAUUAUUAAUCUUUGCAAUUCUACUGUCGUUGCCCCUAAAAUGCUGGUUAACUUCCUGGUUACCAAGAAAACCAUAUCAUACUAUGGAUGUGCAGCCCAACUGGGUGGAUUCUUGGUUUUCAUUGUGGCUGAGAUUUUCACGCUGGCUGCAAUGGCCUAUGACCGCUAUGUGGCUAUUUGGAGCCCUCUGCUCUACGCCGUAGUGGUGUCUCCAAAGGUGUGUCGUCUGCUGGUGUCCCUCACAUACCUUCAGAGUCUUAUCACAGCACUGACUGUCUCUUCCUGUGUGUUCUCUGUGUCAUACUGUUCUUCCAACAUUAUCAACCAUUUUUACUGUGAUGAUGUCCCUUUGCUAGCAUUGUCCUGUUCUGAUACCUACAUUCCAGAAACAGCAGUCUUUAUCUUUUCAGGGACCAACUUGCUUUUCUCCAUGAUCGUUGUUCUGAUAUCCUACUUCAACAUUGUUAUUACCAUUUUGAGGAUACGUUCCUCAGAAGGACGACAAAAAGCCUUUUCCACCUGUGCUUCUCACAUGAUAGCUGUGGUUGUGUUCUAUGGGACUCUCCUUUUCAUGUAUUUGCAACCAAGGAGUAAUCAUUCAUUAGAUACUGACAAAAUGGCUUCGGUCUUCUACACCCUGGUGAUACCAGUGCUGAACCCUCUAAUCUACAGCCUCAGGAACAAGAACGUGAAGGAUGCACUAAAGAGGUUCCUAGAUAACCCAUGCCGAUCACUCAAACUAAUGUAAAUGUAAAGCUAAAACUAUCUUCCUUUAGUGCUUUUCGUUUUUUCCUGAAAACUGCUGUGUUUUAAAAAAAAGUGUCAAGAAAUUUUUAGAAAUUCCAUUCAUUUCAGUGGGAAAUGUUUAAUUGUUCUUAUGUCAACCUCACAUACGCAAACAAGAAAACAAUAUCUAUAAUUAAUAAAAAUAAUUUGAAAAUAAUCACAGUUUAUAGAUAACUUAUAGAUAAAAUGUAAGCCACUAAAGGGUUUUUAAAAUAAUUUCCAAACAAGGAAAAGAAUGCCUGAUAGUGCGUGUGGAGGUAUGUGGCAUCAUUUCUUGGAAGGUGGUCAAAACUCAGAUCAUCCUCCUUGCAAGAGACAUCUUUUGUUCAGCUACUAAAAAUUAUAUUUUUAGUUUUGUAGCAUUUUAUCCAUCAAGUUCAACUUUUGUGGAACCAUUUUUAUCUUGUAUUUAAAAAUAAAUUUUUUAUCACAGAAAAACUACACAUGGAAAUAAGACUUAAGGGAAAACAGGCUAACAAAUUUUUAAAGGGGAUUUUCUUUUUUCAUUGUUCUCAGUUGGUGUGUGCACCCAAAGCUAAAUGUUGAUGUUCUCUCAAAUAAGACACACAACUUUUUUCCAUCUCAUCAUAAAACAUUUGUGUAAAGUUAAUUGCCUUUGUUAUGAAACUAUAAUACCAAACACAACUACUUUUAGCAUUUUCAUUCAGUGUAAUUUGAAAUGAAAUUUUAUCAGACAAAAUUUUUUAAAAAUAAUAUUUUCUUAAAGAUGUCCUCCUGUUUUUUUUUAAGUUAGUAGUUACUAUGAACUACAUCUCUUUGCAUGUAAAAGGCUACUAAUGCAUGAUGGAGUGAGGGAGAGUGGCACUUAUAUGUGAAAUAAAGGUAGUGUCUGGAAAUAAAGUACAGUUAUAAUAUUUUCAGGAAGGUUAGAAGCAUACUCAAUCCGGGGACUGUGUGACUCAAAUCAAUAUUUCAACUUCUAACUUUAGCCUUAAAGGAGCAGAAUCACUGAAGGCAGGAAAAAUCACACUAUAUGAGGGACAUUUCUGGUCUCAAGGGCAACAUUAAUAAUAGUUCUAUGGCAUUUGCCUUUAUGUUACUUAUCUGUUUAUUUGUGUAUCUUUUUCUACUUUAUGAUAUGUGUAUUUGGCUUCAUCAACUGAUAUAAUUGUAACUGGAGAACUAUACUUCCCAUUAGAAACAAUUCUUUUGGGUCUGGCUAGAUGAAUAGCAUUGGAGUAACAGGGCUAAACUCACACUUGCAUUUAUACCAAUGUUAUGCAUAUUACUAAAUUAGUUAAGGUCAGUAAGAAGUACUCCAGUGUUUUCUACCUUUUAAUUUGGCUUACACAUGUGUAUUUUGUAAAAAUAAUGAUGUUGUCUCUUGUAUUCGUUUUCUAUUGCUACUGUAAGAAAUCACUACAAACAUAGUAGCUUGGAACAACCCAAAUUUAUUAUCCCACAUUUCUAGGGGUCAGAAAGUCAAAGUGGAUCUCAUGAGGUUAAAACCAAGGUGUUGGCAGUCUGUAUUCCUACUGGAAUCUCCGGGACAAUCUAUUUUCUUGCUUUUUCCAGGUUCUAGAGGUUGCCUACAGCAAUUGGCUUAUGUUCUCCUUCCAGUCAGCAAUCUCAUCACUCUGACCUCUGCUUCCACUGCUGUGUCCCCUCUGCCUUUCACCCUCUUCUUCCCUCUCUCCCCUGUGAUUGUCUUGGACUCACACAGAUAAUCCAUAAAAUCCUCCUCAUCUCAUGAUUCUUAAUCACAUCAGCAAAUUCCCUUUUCCAUGGAAUGUGACAUGUUCAGAUAGAUUCCUGUACCUGUCUUAUUCAUUAGUGCUCAAUGGUAUAGUCUUACAAAAGUUGACAUGCUAUAUAUCCUUUCUACAUUA